GUGCCAGCCGCCGCGGUAAUACGUAGGUCCCGAGCGUUGUCCGGAUUUAUUGGGCGUAAAGCGAGCGCAGGUGGUUUAAUAAGUCUGAUGUAAAAGGCAGUGGCUCAACCAUUGUGUGCAUUGGAAACUGUUAGACUUGAGUGCAGUAGAGGAGAGUGGAAUUCCAUGUGUAGCGGUGAAAUGCGUAGAUAUAUGGAGGAACACCGGUGGCGAAAGCGGCUCUCUGGACUGUAACUGACACUGAGGCUCGAAAGCGUGGGUAGCAAACAGGAUUAGAUACCCUGGUAGUCCACGCCGUAAACGAUGAGUGCUAGUUGUUUGGGGCUAUCCAGCCCUAAGUGACGCAGCAAACGCAUUAAGCACUCCGCCUGGGGAGUACGACCGCAAGGUUGAAACUCAAAGGAAUUGACGGGGGCCCGCACAAGCGGUGGAGCAUGUGGCUUAAUUCGAAGCAACGCGAAGAACCUUACCAGGUCUUGACAUACCAGUGCUAUUCUUAGAGAUAAGAAGUUACUUCGGUACACUGGAUACAGGUGGUGCAUGGUUGUCGUCAGCUCGUGUCGUGAGAUGUUGGGUUAAGUCCCGCAACGAGCGCAACCCCUAUUGUUAGUUGCCAUCAUUAAGUUGGGCACUCUAGCGAGACUGCCGGUAAUAAACCGGAGGAAGGUGGGGAUGACGUCAAAUCAUCAUGCCCCUUAUGACCUGGGCUACACACGUGCUACAAUGGUUGGUACAACGAGUCGCAAGCUAGUGAUAGCAAGCUAAUCUCUUAAAGCCAAUCUCAGUUCGGAUUGUAGGCUGCAACUCGCCUACAUGAAGUCGGAAUCGCUAGUAAUCGCGGAUCAGCACGCCGCGGUGAAUACGUUCCCGGGCCUUGUACACACCGCCCGU
rnacentral:rRNA from 1 species